UACGAAGGGGGCUAGCGUUGCUCGGAACCACUGGGCGUAAAGGGUGCGUAGGCGGGUCUUUAAGUCAGGGGUGAAAUCCUGGAGCUCAACUCCAGAACUGCCUUUGAUACUGAAGAUCUUGAGUCCGGGAGAGGUGAGUGGAACUGCGAGUGUAGAGGUGAAAUUCGUAGAUAUUCGCAAGAACACCAGUGGCGAAGGCGGCUCACUGGCCCGGUACUGACGCUGAGGCACGAAAGCGUGGGGAGCAAACAGG
rnacentral:rRNA from 1 species